rnacentral:RNase_P_RNA from 1 species
AAAGCAUAGUAAAUGCUCGCUUCUUUUUAGGAGAGGAAAGUCCGAGCUGCUAAAGACAAACAUUCCAUCUAACAGAUGGCUAGGGUAACCUAAGGGAUAGUGCAACAGAAAGAAAACUACCACGCAAGUGGAAAAGGUGAAACGGCGGGGUAAAAGCCCACCAGCGAUUUUGGUAACAAUUUCGGCUAUGUAAACCCAAUGUGCAGCAAGAAGGGAUGG